rnacentral:rRNA from 1 species
GAUGAACGCUGGCGGCGUGCCUAAUACAUGCAAGUCGAGCGAAUGGAUUAAGAGCUUGCUCUUAUGAAGUUAGCGGCGGACGGGCGAGUAACACGUGGGUAACCUGCCCAUAAGACUGGGAUAACUCCGGGAAACCGGGGCGAAUACCGGAUAAUAUUUUGAACUGCAUGGUUCAAAAUUGAAAGGAGGCUUCGGCUGUCACUUAUGGAUGGACCAGCGUCGCAUUAGCUAGUUGGUGAGGUAACGGCUCACCAAGGCAACGAUGCGUAGCCGACCUGAGAGGGUGAUCGGCCACACUGGGACUGAGACACGGCCCAGACUCCUACGGGAGGCAGCAGUAGGGAAUCUUCCGCAAUGGACGAAAGUCUGACGGAGCAACGCCGCGUGAGUGAUGAAGGCUUUCGGGUCGUAAAACUCUGUUGUUAGGGAAGAACAAGUGCUAGUUGAAUAAGCUGGCACCUUGACGGUACCUAACCAGAAAGCCACGGCUAACUACGUGCCAGCAGCCGCAGUAA